rnacentral:rRNA from 1 species
AAUCUGCCGCAAUGGACGAAAGUCUGACGGAGCAACCCCGCGUGGGUGAUGAAUGUCUUCGGAUCGUAUAACCCUGUUGUUGGGGAGGAAUAAGUCUCGGAGUAAUAUACCGGUACCUUUACGGUACCUUACCAGCAAGCACCGUCUAACUUCGUACCUGCAGCCGCGGUAAUACGUAGGGGGCAAGCGUUGUCCGGAAUUAUUGGGCGUAAAGGGCGCGCAGGCGGUGUUUUAAGUCUGAUGUGAAAUCUCGCAGCUUAACUGCGAGCGGUCAUUGGAAACUGGAAAGCUUGAGUACAGAAGAGGAGAGUGGAGUUCCACGUGUAGCGGUGAAAUGCGUAGAGAUGUGGAGGAACACCAGUGGCGAAGGCGACUCUCUGGUCUGUAACUGACGCUGAGGCGCGAAAGCGUGGGUAGCGAACA